rnacentral:rRNA from 1 species
AUUGAACGCUGGCGGCAUGCUUUACACAUGCAAGUCGAACGUCAGCGCGGGCUUCGGCCUGGCGGCGAGUGGCGAACGGGUGAGUAAUACAUCGGAACGUGCCCAGUAGUGGGGGAUAGCUCGGCGAAAGCCGGAUUAAUACCGCAUACGACCUGAGGGUGAAAGCGGGGGAUCUUCGGACCUCGCGCUAUUGGAGCGGCCGAUGGCAGAUUAGCUAGUUGGUGGGGUAAAGGCCUACCAAGGCGACGAUCUGUAGCUGGUCUGAGAGGACGACCAGCCACACUGGGACUGAGACACGGCCCAGACUCCUACGGGAGGCAGCAGUGGGGAAUUUUGGACAAUGGGCGAAAGCCUGAUCCAGCAAUGCCGCGUGUGUGAUGAAGGCCUUCGGGUUGUAAAGCACUUUUGGCGGGAACGAAAAGGACUGUGCCAAUACCACGGUUCGAUGACGGUACCCGCAGAAUAAGCACCGGCUAACUACGUG